UACGUAGGGGGCAAGCGUUAUCCGGAUUUACUGGGUGUAAAGGGAGCGUAGACGGCAGCGCAAGUCUGGAGUGAAAUGCCGGGGCCCAACCCCGGAACUGCUUUGGAAACUGUGCAGCUCGAGUGCAGGAGAGGUAAGCGGAAUUCCUAGUGUAGCGGUGAAAUGCGUAGAUAUUAGGAGGAACACCAGUGGUGAAGGCGGCUUACUGGACUGUAACUGACGUUGAGGCUCGAAAGCGUGGGGAGCAAACAGG
rnacentral:rRNA from 1 species